rnacentral:tRNA from 1 species
UGCCGGGUCGUCUAAUGGUAGGACAGCGCCCUUUGAAGGCGUCGAUUGGGGUUCGAGUCCCUGCCCGGCAG